rnacentral:rRNA from 1 species
AGGUCACAUAACACAUGCAAAUACGAACGGUAACAGGAAGCAGCUUGCUGCUUCGCUGACGAGUGGCGGACGGGUGAGUAAUGUCUGGGAAACUGCCUGAUGGAGGGGGAUAACUACUGGAAACGGUGGCUAAUACCGCAUAACGUCGCAAGACCAAAGAGGGGGACCUUCGGGCCUCUUGCCAUCAGAUGUGCCCAGAUGGGAUUAGCUUGUUGGUGAGGUAACGGCUCACCAAGGCGACGAUCCCUAGCUGGUCUGAGAGGAUGACCAGCCACACUGGAACUGAGACACGGUCCAGACUCCUACGGGAGGCAGCAGUGGGGAAUAUUGCACAAUGGGCGCAAGCCUGAUGCAGCCAUGCCGCGUGUAUGAAGAAGGCCUUCGGGUUGUAAAGUACUUUCAGCGGGGAGGAAGGUGUUGUGGUUAAUAACCGCAGCAAUUGACGUUACCCGCAGAAGAAGCACCGGCUAACUCCGUGCCAGCAGCCGCGGUAAUACGGAGGGUGCAAGCGUUAAUCGGAAUUACUGGGCGUUAAGCGCACGCAGGCGGUCUGUCAAGUCGGAUGUGAAAUCCCCCGGGCUCCACCUGGGGAACUGCAUUCGAAACUGGGCAGGCCUUGAGUCUUGUAAGAGGGGGGGUAGAANUUCCAGGGGUGUAGCCGGGUGAAAAUGCGUUAUGAGAAUCUUGGAGGAAAUUACCCGGGUGGGCGAAGGGCGGGCCCCCCCUGGGACAAAAGACCUGACCGCCUCANGG